rfam:Myotis davidii contig164479, whole genome shotgun sequence.
GGUGGUUCUUGGGUGACACACCCUUCAAUUGGGCUCCCUCCUCUCUGGUUCUGGGCGCAUCACCUGAGAUCCAAA